GAGAUAUGAGGACCAAAACAAAUUCUGAUACAGAUCAACAACCAAAACAAAUUAACAGAUAGCAAUAUCUUUUAGGGAUCCCUCCCUUGUUAGAAAUGUAUAAUGACUAGUCUACUAAACUCUCAGGUUACUUCAUCUGAGUAGAUGAUGAUGAGUUACUGAUGCAGCUUUUGUCUGGUUUGGCUUUGCAUGGUCAAGAUACCAGAGAGCUCCUUCAGCUGCAUGCUCAGCAGCAGCUUUCUUCUUGUGUUUGGGAUCACCAAAACAUUCCAAAACAGUUGUUCCUGAAGAAUCUCUAAUCUCAACCACAACUUUGUAUGUAAACCUUGACCCAAAAACAAUAUAAACCAAGUUCCAUGCAAAUUAAAAGGUUGUGACUAGGAGCAAGGUGCAGGUAAGUUAUGUGUGACUUACAAUCUCAUAUGACAAGGUCCAUCAACAUUGCAGCAAUCAUAAACAGGAGGUUUCCAUCUCUUGGAAAUACACAUUUCGUGUAACAAUGAUUUUGCUGAACCUUUCUUAGAUUCAUCUGGACCACAAGCGUUUACACAAAGUAACAAAUCUCAGCAUGAGAAAAAAAAACAAAACCUAAAAGUUAAAACCAGUCACUUUAAUGUGAUGAACCUAAAAGAUAAAACAAGAAGAUGACUAAGGGAGGUGAAUGAAGAAAAGGUAACACCUUUAGAUAUUGAUUUGGCAUCUUCUACAGGUUUGAGAACAGGGUGAUUCUCUUGUGUGGUGCUAACGCUUCUUGUGCUAUUAGGAUCGAUCUGAAUGUUAGAGAAGGAAGACUUGACAUUGUCUUCUUCAAGCCUCAUCUCUUGGUAUCUCUGCUUUGGCACAGUACCUGGCACCAUCAUUGUUCUUGGCUUCUGACAAAACAAUUGAAAGAAACUAAGAUGUAUCACUGAUUCCGACAGAGAUUUAUGUUUUUUUUUCAAAGAAAACGUCUUUGGUAUUAAAAAAAGAAUAGCCAAAUCAACGAGGAACGUUACAGAACAAUCGAAUUUGGAAGUAAAAUUGAAUGAAGAAAGUAUAUAUUUAUAUUUACCAGAGAGGAGUGUGUUGGGGGGAUAGAAGAAGGAUCCAAAGGAGGAAUGUCUUUGAGACUGAUGAUGAUAGAUCUUCUUCUUGAUGUGGUUUUCUGAUCCUCCUCCAUCUUCUCUCUCUCAUAACUCAAUUCGUCAAGUUUCUCGCUUAGGGAAUCGAACAAACGGAUAAGGUUAAUUAAUUACAACUCUUUCUCUUUCUCUCAGAGUUUUGUCUUCUUAUGUUUGGUCCCCAAAGUCAAAAGCUUUUGUCUAUUUUUUUUUGUGUUUGGUCAGAAAGUCAAAAACCUAAUUAAUUGUACUUACCAAACUACUUGAUACGAUUACCAAAAAAAAAACAGAUAAAAAGUGGAAUUUUGCACAAGAACACCAACAACAUUCAAUUCAAAAUGAAAAGAUUACAAUAAAGGAAAUGAAAAUGUGUUUUUAUAAAAUUCUCAAUGAUCCGCCGAGGUCUAGUGGUAGAAGAGGGAUGAGUGAGUGCAACACAUCGGUUAUAAGUGGUCUGUAACUUGGCUCUGGCUGCACACACAACACUGCCACCGCUGCUACCUGAUAAAGAUGCUUCAAAUCCAUGGUUCCUUUGAUUGCAGGAUCCAAUAUGUUUGGCAGAUUAGCUCUGUCACUCAGCUUUGGUACAGCCUGUUCAACAAAUAGAUAUCUUAAAAAAGCCAAAGAGGAUUUAAAGCACAUUAUCUUGAAAGUUUGUACGUACCCAAGUGACAACGGAUUCUGGUUCAGUUGAUGGUUUCUCCACUACUGAUCUCUUCCCCAGGAGAAGUUCUAGGAGAAUCACUCCAAAUGAGUAGACAUCAUUCUUGUCUGUUACUUUCCCUUUAAAAAGAUGAAAACACACAAAGAGACCAAUUAUGAGCAACAGAUAAAGAAAAAUGUGAGAGACUAGUUGUUUAGUUAUUACCAUCAAGAAGAUACUCAGAAGGUCUGUUCAGAUUUUUGUUCUGUGUCAUCAACACAGUUGCAUACCCAAAAUCUGAUAUCUGAAGAGGGAAGCAAACAUAUAUCAUUACAAGAAGAAUGUUACAUUACUAUACAUAACAAGCUUUUAUCUUUUUACCUUUGCGUUGAAAUCAGAGUCUAGAAGGAUGUUAGACGAUUUCAAAUCUCUGUGAACUACAGGAGGAUGGCAAUGCUCAUGAAGAUACUCUAAUCCUCUUUAUACAAAAAUAAGAGAAAAAACUUUGUAAGCAUACAAAUGUGCUUGGAGAUCACAGGAAACUGCUAAUGGAUGAAUGGACUUUUACCUUGCUAUAUCGACCGCGAUUUUCAUUCUAAGCUGCCAAGUUAAACCUGAACCUUGACUAGGCCCUUCAAAUAUAUCCAAAAAAAGAAGUAAGCAAAAAUGUUAAAAGAUUGAACAGAGAGUUCAUAAACUAGGAUCAUCUCCCUUACCAUGCAGCCGACUCUCCAAAGAUCCAUUCUGCAUCAUCUCAUACACAAUACAUCUAGUCUGGCGAUUAUGACUCAGUAGUCUUAAAGCUUCAGCACCAUGAAAGUAUAUUGUACAGAUGUUAAUUGUUUGAGUUGUGUAAUAUGAAGGUACAAGGAACUUUUGCCACUGCUGGCUCAGAUGGGGCUUUCAAUUUCUGGGACAAGGAUAGUAAACAAAGACUCAAGGUAAUAUCAUGUUGCUUAUGUGCUUUUCAUUUAACUAUUGUGUCUUCUAUAUAACAUAAUAUCUAACUGUUGAGUGCAUUGUUCACUGAUGAAUGUCAGGCCAUGUCAAGGUGCAGUCAGCCAAUUCCUUGCAGUUCGUUUAACCACGACGGGUCGAUAUAUGCAUAUGCGGUAUGCUACAUCUUCUUUGUUUUCACUUUAUUAUAUUGAUGUUAAAUCUGGAAAAUCAAAAGUGUAUUUUUAUCAUAAUAUAGAAAUGACUUUGGAGAAUAUAAGAGUAGAAAGUAAUGUUCUUUUGAACAUUUCUGUAUUGUAGUCGUGCUAUGACUGGAGCAAAGGUGCAGAGAAUCACAACCCAGCAACUGCGAAAAGCAGCAUCUUCUUGCACCUGCCACAGGUGUGUUUAGUGUGCAACUCUCAACUCAUAAAAUCUGCCUCAUUCCAAACAUUAACUAUUAGUAGUUAGUGUGUACUAAUUUUGUAUGAAUGAACUUGCAGGAAAGUGAGGUCAAGGCAAAGCCAAGAGUAACGACCGGCAGGAAAUGAGAUUAGCUAAUUGCUUUCAGUGAGAGAGGAUAUCUUCCUCCCUUAUAGUGGUGGAUGAUGCUUUUAGCUGUCUUGAUAUCGUUUUAAUGUAGAGUCUCUUUCUUUCCCAUCAAGUAAAUUAUCUGUCUGUCUUGGAUGUUUCUCCUUUUGGCUCGGUUUGGAAUUGUGUUUGUCUAAGUACUACUACCACCCUCCGAAACAUAAUGAAACGCUUCUAGAACUCUUAUUAUAUUAAUUAUUAUACAGUUGAUAAAUUUGAGUAGUAUUAUGAUUAAAUGGACAACAUCAUACGCAUAUUGCAUAGAAUAUACACAUGUUUUUUCUUUUGUGAAAAAAAAAAAACUAUAAUCCUUGAACGGAGAGAGCAAGAAUAAAGUAUCGAAAUAUGGUUAUGGCUAUGGUUAAUAUAGCAAAAGAAUACAGAGAGAGAGAGAAAAGAAAAACAAAAACAAAUGGGAGUUGAUUAGUGGAAGCGGGAGUAAAGCGAAGGACCUGGACUUUGUCCCAUUGCAAAAACUCCCGCUCCUUCACUACUACAACUGCUAAUCAUCUUCACACUCUCUCUGAUAUAAAACGCUUGCAAACUUCAGGCUCCACCUGCAAACAAGGAGAAUUAGAAGCUGUUGUAGUGUUGUGAUCGCCACUGGUGUUCACACUCUCUGGCAAAGCUGAUCAUUUAGUAGACAGCACAAACCAAGAAUGCCAUUUCCAACAAGUGCUGACUGCUAUAGGAAACUUCUGCAACUGCUCCAUCGCCAUAGGUAUGAUCAUUGGGAUCGUUGUGAUGUAUCCUAUUCAACACCGUGCUUAUAAAAAUGGUAUAGACUAUCUUCUUGUGCUUCUCAUUGGAGGUAUCUCUAUUGCAAUGCCAACUGUUCUCUCUGUCACAAUGGCUAUUGGAUCUCACCAUCUCUCUCAACAAGGAGCUAUCACAAAGAGGAUGACAUCAAUUGAAGAAAUGGAUGGGAUGGAUGUUUUGAGUAGUGACAAGAUUGGAACUCUUAUACUCAACAAGCUUACUGUUGGCAAGAGUAUGGUUGAGGUUUUUGUCAAAGAUUUGGACAAGAAACAGUUCUUGUGAAUGCAUCAAGAGCCUCUAGAGUUGAGAAUCAGUAUGCUUGUAUUGUAGGAAUGCAUGGAGCUCCCAGUGAAGCAAGAGAAGGUAUCACUGAAGUCCAUUUCUUUCCUUUUAACCCUGUAGAUAUAAGCGUACUGCUACCACUUACACUGAUGCUAAUGGAAACUGGCACCGUGUCAGCAAAGGCGCUUCAGAACAGGUAAUAAAUGCAUAAACUUAAGUUCAUCAUCAGAUAUGCACUAAGUGGUAGAGCUUGGGAUAAUGUCAUUGAGAACAAGGUGAGGUUAACAAGAACACUAGUCCUUCUGCAGUAGUACUGUUUCUAACUUUGUUCCUUUUGUUUUAGACCGCUUUCACUUCAAAGAAAGACUAUGGAAAGGGAGAGAGAGAAGAACAGUUGGUACAAGCUCAACGUACCCUUCAUGGAUUGCAACCUGCUCAACCCUCAGAGAUGUUCAACGACAAGAGCACUUAUAGAGAACUUUCAGAGAUAGCAGAUCAAGCCAAGAGACGAGCUGAAGUUGCAGGGCAAGGCUCUAAGCAACUGAUUAAUCCAUAACAUUUCUGUUCCUAAGAAUAUGACCUUGGCAUUAUUACUAUUGUAAUUUUUCAGGAUAAGAGAGCGUCAUCCAUUGAAGUCAGCAGUGAAGCAGAAGGGAGUUGACAUAGAGGCUAUCCAGCAACACUACACCCUGUGAUUUUCAGAAACAAGUGGUUUCUUAGUUUAGUUUAGAACCAAAUCCACAAGAGUAUUUGAAUAAUAAACCACCACCUUCAUCAUUAGAAAAAUACUGCAAAAAAGAACAAAAAUAAUGUUUCUCUGACUAGCAGUGGCUGUUGGCUGCUUUAUUUGUUUUGAGAUAUUCUUGUUUUAUUGCCUUUACAAAACUAAUAAGAUUUCACAUUACAAAUUUUAUAAAAUAGCACAAGGAUUGAGAUAUGAGGACCAAAACAAAUUCUGAUACAGAUCAACAACCAAAACAAAUUAACAGAUAGCAAUAUCUUUUAGGGAUCCCUCCCUUGUUAGAAAUGUAUAAUGACUAGUCUACUAAACUCUCAGGUUACUUCAUCUGAGUAGAUGAUGAUGAGUUACUGAUGCAGCUUUUGUCUGGUUUGGCUUUGCAUGGUCAAGAUACCAGAGAGCUCCUUCAGCUGCAUGCUCAGCAGCAGCUUUCUUCUUGUGUU
rnacentral:lncRNA from 1 species